rnacentral:rRNA from 1 species
GAUGAACGCUAGCGGGAGGCCUAACACAUGCAAGCCGAGCGGUAGAGAUUCUUCGGAAUCUUGAGAGCGGCGCACGGGUGCGGAACACGUGUGCAGCCUGCCUUUAUCUAGGAGAUAGCCUUUCGAAAGGAAGAUUAAUACCCCAUAAUAUAAGAAACGGCAUCGUUUUUUAUUGAAAGCUCCGGCGGAUAGAGAUGGGCACGCGCAAGAUUAGAUAGUUGGUGAGGUAACGGCUCACCAAGUCAAUGAUCUUUAGGGGGCCUGAGAGGGUGAUCCCCCACACUGGUACUGAGACACGGACCAGACUCCUACGGGAGGCAGCAGUGAGGAAUAUUGGACAAUGGGUGAGAGCCUGAUCCAGCCAUCCCGCGUGAAGGACGACGGCCCUAUGGGUUGUAAACUUCUUUUGUAUAGGGAUAAACCUACUCACGUGUGAGUAGCUGAAGGUACUAUACGAAUAAGCACCGGCAAACUCCGUGCCAGCAGCCGCGGUAAUACGGAGGGUGCAAGCGUUAUCCGGAUUUAUUGGGUUUAAANGGUCCCGUANGCGGAUCUGUAAGUCAAUGGGGAAAUCUCACANCUUACUGUGAAACUGGCAUUGNUCUGCANGNCUUGGAUAAAUUUGAAGUGGCUGGAAUAAGUA